GACAAUUCUCCUCUCUCUCUCUAAAUUAUCGGUUCUCUCCCUUUCUCUUUUUUUUUAUUAAAGCAGCCACUCUCUCUCUCUCUCAAUCAUCAAAAUUAAAACUCUCUCUAAAUUCUCUCUCUCAGCUCAAUCAUCUCUCUCUCACUGCUCAUCAUCUCUCUCUCUCGCUCAUCAUCUCUCUCUCUCGCUCGAUCAGCCGUCGCCGCGGAAUUCGCCGGAGGAGCAGCGGCAAUAGGCCGCGCCACCCUCGGCUCUCCCUUCACUCACCGAAACCCGGCGCCCCUGUAACGCCUCGAGCUCCACCAUCUGCGACCGGUUCAGCGGGUACAGCGCCACCCCGAAGAGCGCCCGCAGCCGCCUGCACCGCCCCGGCCGCCAUCUCCCUCCGGCGAAACUGACAGCGGUAAGCCGCCGUCCGUUUCAGAACCCAGACCCCAAAUCGUAGCUAUGGCUGGCGCUGCUCGCCACCGGGAAGACCUCGGAGACACCGGAAUCAGCGACUCCAGCAGCAGCACGCACGCCCACCCCUCUUCUCCUUCGGCCACCGCGACCAGCCACCAGGUGUCGCCACCCUCGACUCCCUCGCCUUUCUCUCUGGAUCGACGGGCAGCCUAAGAUCGGAGACAACGGCAGGUUCACCGCCGCCGCUCCGUCGCCGGCGACGAGCCACCGCGGCUGCCGCCUCCCUCUGAUUUCGACUCACACACACAGUAGGUUCAAGCCACAAUUUAGUUCACAAAAUAGCAUAGGAUUUUGAGCAGAAAUCAAAUACUGUAAAUGCUUAUUGAAAAUCUGAAAUUCUUUUCUUGAAACUGAACUAGUCUGUAAAUUUCAGUUCAUAUGUGCAUAUGUAAUCAUGUUGUGAA